GCGCAGUAUGACCUCUAAACAGCGCUGUGUACGCGGUUAUGAUCAGGAUCCUGUCAGUCAUUCGGCGUUCACCGUACGCACGCGAUCCGACGUCGUAGCGUAGCUUCGUGUACGCGCCUGUAAGCAGCAGCUCGGUGUGACUCCUGGUUCAGUUCAGUGUUAUUCAGCGCUUGUGUACGCGUCAUGAAGUCGUUCUGGACAGUAAUAAUUCCAGGCUGUGAAUAAAGUGUUGGUGUAUAAUCUGUAGAGCUGAAUACGAAUACAGGUGGGUUUUUCUUUUCUUUCUAAAUGUAAAUCGAAACAUUAUUUAAUGUUUAAGACACAAUGAAAGAAGUCAAUCAGCGUUUUAUCACAGUUUAUGAAUUUUAUUUUAAAUACAUGACAUUCCUUUCCACUCGGUGUGUGUGUGUGUGUGUGGGGGGGGGGGGGGGGGGGUUUAUUCUUGCGAUUUCAGUUGGUGGAUUUUUUUUGUAGCUUGCCGUUUAAGUUUGUCCAAAAUCAGGACGUCUGUGUAGUCCGGCUUUUUAUUUCCUCUGGACGGCUCCGUACUGACAGUAUUGUGAAUAUCGUGACGUAUCGUGUAACUGAUGAUCAACACAGCUCCAGGAUCGAAAUUCUAACACAUUACUGUUUUUAUCUCAGCUUCUAAAAGCAUCCAUUUCUCUCUCUCACACACACACACGCGCGCAGUGUAAAUCCACCAGUCGGAAUCGUUUGCACUUGGUCUGAAAGACGGUUUAUUUUAAUGUGUGAUUGUAGAAGCUCUAUUUUAUAAAGCGAGUCUGUAUGCGAUGUACGGUGACGUGUUGCACAGAGUAAUAAACACACGCAGAACUGAAGACAAAAAGAACGUUCAAGUCUCUGUCUUUCUUUCUUUCUUUCUUUCUUUCUUUCUUUCUUUUGUUCCUAAAAUUAUACAGUAGUUUUAGUAAAACGCUCCGAAUUACACAGAAAUUCUAAUGGUUUCCACUACGUAUACCAUUACAAACCAUUAGCUAAGCAUUAAAAC
ensembl:lncRNA